AUUUACCGGGGUUUAAAACAAGAGGUAAUAAACAGAAAGUGAUGUUAGUAUGAGGUCAGAGCUGAGACAGGAAGCACGUGACUUCUGAGAAGGAAAAUCUGUCAAAAACCAGGCAAUACUUGUUGAACCAGCAGCAGCCCAGGGAACAACGACUGCUGGAAGCUGGACCUCGGCCACCGUGUUUCCCCAUCACGGCAGCACCCGUGAGCUGAUACAGACCUGUUGCCCUGGGAGCUGGGCUUCCACGUGACCUCCCCAAGACCACUCAGAUAAUGAGAGGAAAUACAGUCAUCAGCUUACAGAAGGCUGGGGGUUCCAGACUACAGCUGCAAGUCCUCCGCCGCCUGCCUGACCAGAGCCAUUCACCUCUCUGCAGGCAGUUUUCAGCUGUUCCCUGGUCUGGUGUGAAGGCGUUCGAGGGGCCAGAGCAUCUGAUGGUGGGGUCUGGAGAGUUUCAGUUGAUUAAUUGUACUGCCAGUUGCACGGACCCCAAGAAACUUGUUCUGGAGACACACCUAAACAAGACGCUCCUGGACAGCCAGGCUCAGUGGAAGCUAUUCAAGGUCGCCAACAUCUCCAAGGAUGAGAAGCU
rnacentral:lncRNA from 1 species